CGCACAAGCGGUGGAGCAUGUGGUUUAAUUCGAAGCAACGCGAAGAACCUUACCAGGUCUUGACAUCCUUUUGAAUGGUCUAGAGAUAGAUCAGGCCUUCGGGACAGAAGAGACAGGUGGUGCAUGGUUGUCGUCAGCUCGUGUCGUGAGAUGUUGGGUUAAGUCCCGCAACGAGCGCAACCCUUAUCAUUAGUUGCUAACAUUCAGUUGAGAACUCUAAUGAGACUGCCAGUGAUAAACUGGAGGAAGGUGGGAUGACGUCAAAUCAUCAUGCCCCUUAUGACCUGGGCUACACGCGUGCUACAAUGGCCGGUACAAAGAGUUGCGAAACUGUGAAGUUAAGCUAAUCUCAUAAAGCCGGUCUCAGUUCGGAUUGUAGUCUGCAACUCGACUACAUGAAGUCGGAAUCGCUAGUAAUCGCGAAUCAGAAUGUCGCGGUGAAUACGUUCUCGAGCCUU
rnacentral:rRNA from 1 species